GAUGAACGCUGGCUACAGGCUUAACACAUGCAAGUCGAGGGGAAACGACGGGGAAGCUUGCUUCCCCGGGCGUCGACCGGCGCACGGGUGAGUAACGCGUAUCCAACCUGCCUCUGACUGAGGGAUAACCCGUCGAAAGUCGGCCUAAUACCUCAUGGCAUCGUCUGCGGGCAUCCAACGACGAUUAAAGAUUUCAUCGGUCAGAGAUGGGGAUGCGUCUGAUUAGCUUGUUGGCGGGGUAACGGCCCACCAAGGCGACGAUCAGUAGGGGUUCUGAGAGGAAGGUCCCCCACAUUGGAACUGAGACACGGACCAAACUCCUACGGGAGGCAGCAGUGAGGAAUAUUGGUCAAUGGGCGAGAGCCUGAACCAGCCAAGUAGCGUGCAGGAUGACGGCCCUAUGGGUUGUAAACUGCUUUUAGGCGGGGAUAAAGUGAGGGACGUGUCCUUCAUUGCAGGUACCGCAUGAAUAAGGACCGGCUAAUUCCGUG
rnacentral:rRNA from 1 species